UACGAAGGGGGCGAGCGUUGUUCGGAAUUACUGGGCGUAAAGGGCGCGCAGGCGGCCUUAGAAGUCAGAUGUGAAAGCCCCGGGCUCAACCUGGGAAUGGCAUUUGAUACUCUGAGGCUGGAGUACGGGAGAGGAGAGUGGAAUUCCCAGUGUAGAGGUGAAAUUCGUAGAUAUUGGGAAGAACACCGGUGGCGAAGGCGACUCUCUGGACCGUAACUGACGCUGAGGCGCGAAAGCGUGGGGAGCAAACAGG
rnacentral:rRNA from 1 species